rnacentral:rRNA from 1 species
GCGGCGAGCGAAAUGGGAUUAGCCCUUAAGUUACAGAUGGUUUAGCAGAACGCUCUGGAAAGUGCGGCGAUAGAGGGUGAUAGCCCCGUAUGCGAAAGGCCAUUUGUAGUGAAAUCGAGUAGGUCGGAACACGUGAAAUUUUGACUGAACAUGGGGGGACCAUCCUCCAAGCCUAAGUACUCCUUUAUGACCGAUAGUGAACAAGUACCGUGAGGGAAAGGUGAAAAGCACCCCGAUGAGGG